CCGGGAUGGCCUCUCACCGACGUGAUUCCCGCUGGGGGAGGCUGGGACCUGCUGGGUUCGCGAUGCCGCCGGUGCCUUGGAGAACUCCCCGUGGGUGUAAGUGCCGUGUUUGGAGGCGCUCCCGCGAUCUCGCCUCCGCCGACGCAGGGCGGCGUUUACCACACGGCCCACAGCCGAGGUCAGCAGAACUCUUCCUGUGAAACAGCGCAGACUAACUGACUUGGGCUGGUGCCAUCUUUCAAGGCAAGAUUUUCUUUGGAUGAACGGAUGGGAUACCUAAGGGUGUCAUGAAGUCGCCCUGCUCUCACCCUCCCUGGGCUCCUUCCCCACCAGCCAGAACAGAAGCAGCAGUGUUGACCUCACCCAGGCUGGGCACUGGGAUACCAAACGAAGAUGCCCUCAAGGCGUUUCAAAGGUAAGAUGCGUACAUGGACAGGUUUAAGACUAUGUAAAGGAAUAUUUUUCAGCCCAUGGAGAAAGAUUACAGAAGGGCAAUCUAACCUUCCUCAAGUACCUACUAUGUUCAAAGGAUCUUGUGUACGAUGUGCUCUUUAAUUCUGGGAGGGAGAUAUUGUUAUAAACCAAGAAAACUGAGGAAUUGAAGUUCAUUGAAAACUUUAAUAUACGUGCUUCUGUGAUAUUCAAGUGUCGUGGAGAUUGCACAAACAUCUAACUUAAGGUAAAUGGUCAGAAAUGGUUAAUUUAGGGAACAUGGAAGCACAGUUGUAUUCCAGCAUGAUAACUGAUUGGGAAGUGACGAGAAGUGAAGAGCAAGUAAAUACGGACGGUUCUUGCAACUUGUGAAGGAGAUGGAUUGGACAUUGAUUCUAUUCCAAAAAUUAAGGGAAAUUUAUUUAUGCAAGAGAACUAAAAUCUAGUGCCGUGAAACCCUGAUGAUUCCUACUUCAUGCUGCAUUGAUCUGAGUGCUGGAUGUGUUUUCCUUGACAGUUCAGGCAACACUGUUUUUAAUUCUUUGGAGACAAUCUGUUAUUAAAUUGAUCUGUGUAUUUAUGUUCUGUCCUAUUCACUGUUAUUUACUGCUCACCAAGGCUGCCAACUUUUAAACAGUCUUGGUAUAAAUGUUUGUUCCCAAACCUUUGCUGAUAGAUGUGUUUUAUGUAACAGUUAUGGAGUCCAUUAACAUGAAGCACUAAAACACAAAAAGAAACUAAAGAGAUUUAUAAGCAUAUGAAAUGCCCUCACCAGAGACAGUUGAAAUAAUAAAUCCGAAGUCAAAGGAACAUUUGUGAAGUUGCUAUGAACAGAUUUACCUACUUCAAAACAUGUUUUGUUAGACUGAAUCAUGCUAUAUAUUAUGUUUAGCUUAAAAGGUAAAAUACAAAUUGACUCUCAUUUAUUGGUAAUGAUUCCUCACUGUGUUUGAGGAGAGAGAUGUAAAAACAGAUUCUACUGUUUUAGAAGAGAGAAAUUCCACUUUAAACAAGUCUAUGUCAUUUGCAUUCUUGUUAAGAGAAACUGCCUGAAGGAAUUUUCUUUAAAAGUGGGAAAUUUAGGAAAGCUCAAAAUAUUCAUAUUUUAAGUGACAUUAAAAUACUUCCAACAUUAUUAUUUUACAGAAAUACUUAAUUGUGAGCCUAAUUGCUGGUAGCAACAGUAGUCUAGGGGGAAAUUUUUUCUUGACUGCAACUUGAGAUAUAAUUAGUAUCCUCAGAAACAGGCAACCCCUCCCCCCAACCCCUACUAAAAAAAUGGUUGGCAAAGCAAAAUGGUGGCAUCUGUCUCCUCGUUAAAACAUCAGAUUGACAAAGUCCAUGUACUUCUCUGUUUCAAAAAGUUCCAGCUCUUUUAAACAUCGACAUUCUUAUCAUUUCGUGUGUUUGGUGCUGGCCACUGGCUAACAGUGUCUGUGUGGAUUUCUCCUUGAAUAUCUUUCCCCCAUCAACUGAUAAGCAAGUGGCUCCUAGGACUUCUGGUGGAGAGCUCUGCUCAGGAAAGCAGGCUGAUAGCACACAUCUGAAAUUGUUACAGAAAACAUUCCUUCUCUUCUUGUGUGUGUUGUUGCUCGUUUGCUUGAUUUUUUUCCUAUUUAAAGGAACUUUUGAAGGUCUAACAGCUACAGGGCUUUCAGGUUGAAGUGGCCCCGGGAACUAGAGAGUGGCAGUUUAAUGUGCUUUCCUUGGAGAGAAAAAGACACUGGUAUUGUAAAUCUAGCCUGUAUUCACUAUCACAGGGCUAAUCCAUGGUCAUAAAAUUAGAGUCAAAUAUAUGAUAAACUGCAAGCCACUGUUUUCACAUCAAUCUGUACAAACAAGCUAAUAUGUUAUUUUAGUAGUGAAAAAAAAUUCUUAAUUUUUCCUUAAGCAUGUAGCUCUAGGUCUGGGAUUAUUAUAACAAGUAUUUUUGAGCAAAUUUAGUUUUUCUGUAUAAUUUUUUUAAAAAAAUAAAAAAUUUAAAAUUCAGGGGAAAAAUCUAAUCUCAAUCCCCCAAAGUAAAUACUGUUAAUAAUUUGGUGUUUUUCCCUCCAGUCUUUUAGUUAUUCCACUCAUCAAAAUUUGUAUUUUAUUUUUUCAUUGAGUACAAUUAAUAUAAUACUCUGGGAUGUCUUUUAUGAUGAUGUGUAAAUUACGAGUUUAAGAAAUGUUUUUGGAAGACAUAGAUAGAAAGGAAAAAUGUUUAGGCGUCAUCUUUCCUGCAACAACAGUAACACAAUUGUUCAAAAGAAAAGACUUUCAAAUCUUGUGAACAGCGCAUGGUGGUUUUCAAGUGUAGGAACUGAAAGUGAAUUUGAAAAGGUAGCAGGGAGAAGUGACAACUCCGGCCUUGAUGGGCAAGGGCAUGAAGAGCCACUCACUUCCUGGGGUGAGCACCAAGGGCCCCCGGUGCCUGUCCGCUGUGUUCUGAGCACAGGGCGCUGCUGCAGCCAGCCCCCUGCCCAUCUACCCUGCUUCUAGAGCCUUCCGAUAUCAGAACAGGAAGGGCUUUAGUCCAGCGCCUCUCACUUAACAGAUAAGAAUGCCGGGUCCAGGGAGGUAAAUAACCCAUGCAGGGCUGGCUCUGUCACCAGGCGGCAGUCCUCCCUGCCCAGGCAUCUGAGGGAGAACCUGGCCACUUCACCUCUCUUCACAGGUGGCUCUGCUGCCUCCAGCUGCCUGCAGAGGACAGCCAGGCAGCGGUGGGCCAAAGCCAGCCCGUUUUCAAGCGUAAGUCCAGAGGAAAGAUUUUAAUUUGAGGAGAAAGAGGAUUUCUAUCUCCCUUUCUACCAAGGGCACAUCAGAAACCCAUUUAAAUGAUUCUGAAAAGCCUCCAAAUUUUCCAUUCAAUGAAGGAACGUGCCAGAGAACCUUAAAAGCUAAAGGUUUCAACAACAGGACCUAAUAAAGUUCUGCUGCCCCUUCAAGGCUUGAUAUAAAUUCCAGAAUUCUAGAUUCUUGGGGCUGGAAGGGGCAUUAUAAAGGUGAUGUUUUCUUAUGACUUUUAAGCUACAGUUAAAAAAAAAAAGAGGUUAUUAAUUCCAUCACCAAGAGGUUACUAAACAUUCCUGCCUUCAACUACAAUUACUGCAGAAAUAGUUUUUAACUUUUCUGAAUGGAAUUCCAACAACAACAAUGAGAAAUUAUUAGUCCCUGUGAUGAUUGUGUUUGCCUUGUUUAGAAGAUGGUACUGAACAUCGAAUUUCCAUAUCAUCACUGACUUACCCUGUUCUUGCUGCUAUAACAAAACACCUUAGACUGGUUAAUUUAUAAAUCAUAUAACUGUAUUUCUCACUGUUCUGAAGGCUGGGAAGUCCAGAUCAGGUGACAGCCGAUUUGGUGUCUGGUGAGGGCUUGGCCUUCUCACUGCCUUCACAUGGUGGGGGGAGGCAAAGGGGUGAGGACCUCCCUUGUACCUCUUUUUUUUUCCUUUCUUAGAUUUAGCUUUUUAAAAAAUUGGUACAUAGUAGUUUUACAUAUUUAUGUGCUAUGCGUGACAUUUUGUUACAUGCAUAGAAUGUGUAAUGAUUAAGCCUGGGUAUUCGGGGUACCUAUCACCUUGAGUAUCAUUUCUAUGUGUUGGGAACAAUACAAGUCCUCUCUUCUAGCCACUUUGAUAUGCACAAUAUGUUGUUAACUGUAGUCACCCUGCUCUGCUAUUGAACCUGAGAACUUAUUCCUUCUAUCUGAAUGUAUUUUUGUGCCCAUUAACCAAACUCUCUUUGCCCCACCCCACCCCACCCUUCCCAGCCUCUAGUCACCAUCAUUCUACCCUUUACCUCAAUGAGAUCAAUUUUUUUAGCUCCCACAUAUGAGUGAGAACAUGCAAUAU